rnacentral:rRNA from 1 species
AGUGAACGCUGGCGGUAGGCCUAACACAUGCAAGUCGAACGGCAGGACAGUAAGCGCUUGCUCUUACGGGUGGCGAGUGGCGGACGGGUGAGGAAUACAUCGGAUUCUUCUUUUUCGUGGGGGAUAACGUAGGGCCACUUCCGCUAAUACCGCAUACGACCUACGGGUGAAAGCAGGGGAUCUUCAGACCUUUCGCGAUUCAAUGAGCCGAUGCCGGAUUAGCUAGUUGGCGGGGUAAAGGCACACCAAGGCGACGAUCCGUAGCUGGUCUGAGAGGAUGAUCGGCCACACUGGAACUGAGACACGGUCCAGACUCCUACGGGAGGCAGCAGUAGGGAAUAUUCCGCAAUGGGCGAAAGCCUGACGCAGCAACGCCGCGUGAGUGAUGAAGGCCUUCGGAUCGUAAAGCUCUGUUAUUAGGGAAGAAAAUAAGCGUAUGUAACUCUGGACGUUCUGACGGUACCUAAUCAGAAAGCCCCGGCUAACUUCGUG